rnacentral:rRNA from 1 species
AGAGUUUGAUCCUGGCUCAGGACGAACGCUGGCGGCGUGCUUAACACAUGCAAGUCGAACGAGGUUAAUUCUUUCGGGGAUUAAUCGAGUGGCGGACGGGUGAGUAACGCGUGAGCAAUCUGUCCCGUAAAGGGGGAUACCAACUGGAAACAGUUGCUAAUACCGCAUAAGACCACGGCACCGCAUGGUACUGAGGUAAAAGUGGGAACACGAUACGGGGUGAGCUCGCGUCCCAUUAGGCAGUUGGUGAGGUAACGGCCCACCAAACCUACGAUGGGUAGCCGACCUGAGAGGGUGACCGGCCACAUUGGGACUGAGACACGGCCCAGACUCCUACGGGAGGCAGCAGUGGGGAAUAUUGGGCAAUGGGGGGAACCCUGACCCAGCAACGCCGCGUGAGGGAAGAAGGUUUUCGGAUCGUAAACCUCUGUCCUUGGUGAAGAGGAAGAGACGGUAGCCAAGGAGGAAGCCCCGGCUAACUACGUGCC